GACGAACGCUGGCGGCGUGCUUAACACAUGCAAGUCGAACGAAGUGGCGAACGGGUGAGUAACGCGUAAUCAACCUGCCCUUCAGAGGGGGACAACAGUUGGAAACGACUGCUAAUACCGCAUACUGAAGGCGGGGAUUGCGUCUGAUUAGCUAGUUGGAGGGGUAGCGGCCCACCAAGGCGCGGAUCAGUAGCCGGUCUGAGAUGAUGAGCUGCCAGAUUGGGACUGAGGCACGCGCCAGACUCCUACGGGAGGCAGCAGUGGGGAUUCUUCCGCCAUGGACGAAAGUCUGACGGGGCAACGCCGCGUGAGUGAUGACGGCCUUCGGGUUGUAAAGCUCUGUUAAUCGGGACGCGGUACCGGAAUAGAAAGCCACGGCUAACUACGUGCCAGCAGCCGCGGUAAUUC
rnacentral:rRNA from 1 species